GAUGAACGCUAGCGGCAGGCUUAAUACAUGCAAGUCGAGGGGCAGCACAGAUAGCAAUAUUGGGUGGCGACCGGCAUACGGGUGCGGAACACGUACACAACCUUCCUUUUAGUGUGGGAUAGCCCAGAGAAAUUUGGAUUAAUACCACAUAGUAUAUUGGAGUGGCAUCACUUUGAUAUUAAAGAUUUAUCGCUAAAAGAUGGGUGUGCGUAUGAUUAGGGAGCUGGUAGAGGUAACGGCUCACCAAGCCUUCGAUCAUUAACUGGUGUGAGGGGACAACCAGUCACACGGGCACUGAGACCGGGGCCCGGCUACUACGGGAGGCAGCAGUAAGGAAUAUUGGUCAAUGGACGGAAGUCUGAACCAGCCAUGCCGCGUGAAGGAUGACGGCCCUCUGGGUUGUAAACUUCUUUUAUGUGGGACGAAAAAGGGGCAUUUUUGGUCAACUGACGGUACCAUAGGAAUAAGCACCGGCUAACUCCGUGCCAGCCGCCGCAGUAA
rnacentral:rRNA from 1 species